UAGGUACAGUAAGGCUCUGAACUCUUCCAGCAAGGAAGACUGCACUCUGUCCCCAGAAGGGGAGAAUACCAGCGCAAAGGACUGACUGAGGAAAGGAUCAGCCAGACCCUGCGUGACCUGGAAGGACUUUGCUUUGCCCAAGCCUGUGUCUCUGAGGCAAAAAGGGACUGAGCCAGCUGAGGAGAAGCAGACCACUUGGAGGUGUCACCCUGUGAGAACUGAAGAAAAAGCUUAUAACAAUGGGGAAGUUGCCAUUGUUUGCAGACAUGAGUCCUGAUUAGUGAAACCCCUCAAGUCUUACAGCAGGAGACAAGUGCAUUCACAACAACUCAGUGAUAAUUUCUAGAGUUUAUUCGCUCAUUAAAUCAGCGUGACAGAACUCCGAUGUUCAAAAAUCAUUGAAAAAUGACAGCCACGAAAGUGGCUAUGACGGUCCAUCAAAACCAACCUUUGUUGGGAAGUGUAAUGCUAAGCUGUACUGGAAUGGAAAACAUUGACACCAAGCUAUUUCUAAAAGUAAGUGAUGCAGCUGAGACAAUAUUUUAACAUCCAUUGAAUAGUUCAUGUGACUCUGAAGGUUGGAAAAGUGGC